CACGUAGGGUGCGAGCGUUGUCCGGAAUUAUUGGGCGUAAAGAGCUCGUAGGCGGUGUGUCGCGUCGGCCGUGAAAACCUGCAGCUUAACUGUGGGCUUGCGGUCGAUACGGGCAUCACUGGAGUUCGGCAGGGGAGACUGGAAUUCCUGGUGUAGCGGUGAAAUGCGCAGAUAUCAGGAGGAACACCGGUGGCGAAGGCGGGUCUCUGGGCCAUAACUGACGCUGAGGAGCGAAAGCAUGGGGAGCGAACAGG
rnacentral:rRNA from 1 species